rnacentral:rRNA from 1 species
GAAUCUGGCUUCAGGUCUGGGACAACCACUGGAAACGGUGGCUAAUACCGGAUGUGCCCUUAGGGGUGAAAGAUUAAUUGCCUGAAGAUGAGCUCGCGUCUGAUUAGCUAGUAGGUGUGGUAAAGGCGCACCUAGGCGACGAUCAGUAGCUGGUCUGAGAGGACGAUCAGCCACACUGGGACUGAGACACGGCCCAGACUCCUACGGGAGGCAGCAGUGGGGAAUUUUCCGCAAUGGGCGAAAGCCUGACGGAGCAAUACCGCGUGAGGGAGGAAGGCUCUUGGGUCGUAAACCUCUUUUCUCAGGGAAGAACACAAUGACGGUACCUGAGGAAUAAGCAUCGGCUAACUCCGUGCCAGCAGCCGCGGUAAUACGGAGGAUGCAAGCGUUAUCCGGAAUGAUUGGGCGUAAAGCGUCCGCAGGUGGCUGUGUAAGUCUGCUGUUAAAGAGUCUAGCUCAACUAGAUACAAGCAGUGGAAACUACACGGCUAGAGUACGUUCGGGGCAGAGGGAAUUCCUGGUGUAGCGGUGAAAUGCGUAGAGAUCAGGAAGAACACCAGUGGCGAAGGCGCUCUGCUAGGCCGUAACUGACACUGAGGGACGAAAGCUAGGGGAGCG